AUUGAACGCUGGCGGCAGGCCUAACACAUGCAAGUCGAACGGAUCCUUCGGGAUUAGUGGCGGACGGGUGAGUAACACGUGGGAACGUGCCCUUUGGUUCGGAACAACUCAGGGAAACUUGAGCUAAUACCGGAUGUGCCCUUCGGGGGAAAGAUUUAUCGCCAUUAGAGCGGCCCGCGUCUGAUUAGCUAGUUGGUGAGGUAAAGGCUCACCAAGGCGACGAUCAGUAGCUGAUCUGAGAGGAUGAUCAGCCACAUUGGGACUGAGACACGGCCCAAACUCCUACGGGAGGCAGCAGUGGGGAAUCUUGCGCAAUGGGCGAAAGCCUGACGCAGCCAUGCCGCGUGAAUGAUGAAGGUCUUAGGAUUGUAAAAUUCUUUCACCGGGGACGAUAAUGACGGUACCCGGAGAAGAAGCCCCGGCUAACUUCGUGCCAGCCGCCGCAGUAAAAC
rnacentral:rRNA from 1 species